rnacentral:rRNA from 1 species
UGCCAGACUCCUACGGGAGGCAGCAGUGGGGAAUAUUGCACAAUGGGGGGAACCCUGAUGCAGCGACGCCGCGUGGGUGAAGGAGUAUUUCGGUAUGUAAAGCCCUCUCAGCAGGGAAGAACAAUGACGGUACCUGACUAAGAAGCACCGGCUAAAUACGUGCUAGCAGCCGCGGUAAUACGUAUGGUGCAAGCGUUAUCCGGAUUUACUGGGUGUAAAGGGAGCGUAGACGGCGGUGCAAGCCAGAUGUGAAAGCCCGGGGCUCAACCCCGGGACUGCAUUUGGAACUGUGCUGCUAGAGUGUCGGAGAGGCAGGCGGAAUUCCUAGUGUAGCGGUGAAAUGCGUAGAUAUUAGGAGGAACACCAGUGGCGAAGGCGGCCUGCUGGACGAUGACUGACGUUGAGGCUCGAAAGCGUGGGGAGCAAACAGGAUUAGAUACCCCGGUA